UUUACCAUUUUUAACAACCUUUUCUUUUUCCUUGUAGAUUAUUUGAUGGAAAUGAUUUAUUUGGUUCUAUACCAGAAACAUUAGGACUAGUUCAGACACUUGAGGUUCUCCGGCUUGAUAGAAAUUCCCUGACAGGAGAGGUUCCCACAAAUCUUUGUAAGAGAUGAGUUUGGAUAAUGAAGUUGGAGUGUUGGAGCAAGAAACAAAGAUAUUGGAGCAAGUUCCCGGGAUGAAACUCACACAAGAGACCAAGAAACUAAGGCAGGCUUGUUUUUAAGUUAAUUA